UACUGUUUUUAUUGUUUUACUGUAAUAUCACAGUAAUGCGGAUUCGCUCACUGACUAUUAACUAUCUGCUGUGAUAUGACAGCAAAGUACUGUAAAAAUACCUAUUCAGCUGAGAACGAAGGCGCCAUCUUCAGUCUGGCUACUUUACAUCUCACAACGACACGACACGACGCAGGAAUAUUCUCUUGGCACUGACGAUCUGACUAUCUGAUGUAUAAAGAUCUUCAUAUAGGAUAUCUGGAAAAAAUGGACAUACUUUAAAGAACCACAAGAUGCCAUCGUGCUCGAGGCUGACUCAUCUGCCACAGCUGCCUAAGUCCAAAGGAUGACCAUUGCCGAGCACACCUCGCUUGAUUGUCCAAGGUCAUCCAAUAUUUCUGAGUUUCUUUAUGCAGCGCUUUCUGCCAGGACCUUUACGUGCUUUUCCCAAGCCACUGAAGUGACGUCGACGUCUGGGUUAGCAGUAGCAUGAGCCGUCAGGCAAGUGUUAUUUAAAUAAACUACUGAUGUACUUUCAAACUUUCAAAAGCCUUGUUUUAUGAUUACAUACUAUUUGUACUACUGUAGAAGUUUGGCAUCAUUCUGGGCAUUAUUAGUGGGGUAAUUUACCAGAUACAGCCUAGGAUCCAUUAGCGCCUGCACUAAGCCAUCCGGCUGAUAUCUCUAAAUAAGCUCUAACUUUAAUAAUGUUCAACCAAGGGUAAAAAGGCUUCUGGGGGGUAUUUGGCUCGAGGUCAUGGUGCAAAGGAGCCUAGGUUGAUUUUACUCCGAACCCUCCCUUUAAGACCUUUAUCGGCCGAUACCGAGUACCAAUCUGAUACCAGUGUUAAAUUGUUAAUGUAUUGUAUUUUCACUGUGAUGAAGAGACAGACUUCACUUGAACAUUGCAUCCCUAGGCAAAACACGGUGAACAGAUUAGGUACAGACGUUCCUAUUACCAUUCCAUGUCUGAAAAAAUCUCACUCCAUUAUUAAAAUGAAUAGCAAAAUAUGUUCAGAAAUGUAAAUGCCAUAAAGUAAACUCAAAAU